UUAAACAACAAAAGACAACACCAACAAACAAUGUCCCCCCACCUCACGUGUAACUUUCUUAAAGAGUUUUUCAUUCACUCAAUCACUCUUACUUUCAAAACAACAACACCAACUCAAAAAGAAAACCCAAAAUAAAACUUCACUCCUUCUUCAUCUUCUCAAUCCCUCUCAAUUUCAAAUCUCAUGAAACAAAACAAAAUUAUGAAAUUAAACAAAGCUAUGAAUUUUUUUUCACUUUUCAGAAAUCAUCAAAGUUGAAGCAAAGUUAUGAUUUAGGAAUCAAAUAAAACACUUUCAAAGCUGGAGCGUGGAGCGAUGGAGGUGGAAAGGAUGCGUAGUUGGUCGGUGAAAAGUACAGAAGAUGAAAAGUGAAAAACAUAAAAGGUAAAAUGUGUGAAAGAAAAUUGAAAAGCUAUAAAAAAACAUUUGGGUCACUUUUACGGUUUCUUUUGUUGGGCUUAUUGUCUAUUGGGCUAUUGGAUUGUGAUUUAUUGUUUGAACUAAGUAUACAAUUACUAAAUAUUUUUUUGAGGCCCUGGGCUGUGGGUCUGCUUGCCCUGGCCCAAGGCCGGCCCUGUUAAUUUGUUAUAUACUAUGGAAAAUUAACAUAUUUUUGUUUUUU